rnacentral:rRNA from 1 species
GUGCCAGCAGCCGCGGUAAUACGGAGGAUGCAAGCGUUAUCCGGAUUUAUUGGGUUUAAAGGGUGCGUAGGCGGGUGCUUAAGCGUGAGGUGAAAGCUCGGAGCUCAACUCCGGAACUGCCUCGCGAACUGGGUGCCUUGAAUGUCCGUGCCGUGGGAGGAAUGUGUGGUGUAGCGGUGAAAUGCAUAGAGAUCACACAGAACACCGAUUGCGAAGGCAUCUCACGAACGGAUGAUUGACGCUGAGGCACGAAAGCGUGGGGAUCAAACAGGAUUAGAUACCCUGGUAGUCCACGCAGUAAACGAUGAUAACUAACCGCUGGGGAGCGAUUUUCAGUGGCCAAGCGAAAGCGAUAAGUUAUCCACCUGGGGAGUACGACCGCAAGGUUGAAACUCAAAGGAAUUGACGGGGGCCCGCACAAGCGGAGGAACAUGUGGUUUAAUUCGAUGAUACGCGAGGAACCUUACCCGGGCUCGAACGGCUGGUGAAGAGAUCCAGAGAUGGUGACGUCCUUCGGGACACCAGUCGAGGUGCUGCAUGGUUGUCGUCAGCUCGUGCCGUGAGGUGUCGGCUCAAGUGCCAUAACGAGCGCAACCCUUGCCGUCAGUUACCAGCACGUCGUGGUGGGGACUCUGGCGGGACUGCCACCGCAAGGUGAGAGGAAGGGGGGGAUGACGUCAAAUCAGCACGGCCCUUACGUCCGGGGCGACACACGUGUUACAAUGGUGACUACAGAGGGGCACUACCUGGUGACAGGAUGGGAAUCUCGAAAAGUCAUCUCAGUCCGGAUCGGAGUCUGCAACUCGACUCCGUGAAGCUGGAUUCGCUAGUAAUCGCGCAUCAGCCAUGGCGCGGUGAAUACGUUCCCGGGCCUUGUACACACCGCCCGU